CCUUGUGGAGGCAGUUCGGCUGCCAAAGGUUGCCCCCGAAAGCUAGGCUUUCGGUUUAGAAAGAGACUUUCGGUCGCCGAAAGAGGGAGUUCGGCCGCCGAAAGUGUGUGAGUUUUGUCUCUGGACGAGACCUUCGGCCGCCGAAGGUGCCGCCGAACAUGCAUGAGUUUCGUCUCUGGAGUGGGGUUUCGGCCGCCGAAUCUGCCGCCGAAAGUGCCCUGUCCAGCUUUCUUUUGCAUGUUUUAUGUGAUGGUUUUAGGAUUGUUUAGAGGGGUUUUGGG
rnacentral:lncRNA from 1 species